rnacentral:rRNA from 1 species
AUUGAACGCUGGCGGCAUGCCUUACACAUGCAAGUCGAACGGUAACGGGUCCUUCGGGAUGCCGACGAGUGGCGAACGGGUGAGUAAUAUAUCGGAACGUGCCCAGUAGUGGGGGAUAACUGCUCGAAAGAGCAGCUAAUACCGCAUACGACCUGAGGGUGAAAGGGGGGGAUCGCAAGACCUCUCGCUAUUGGAGCGGCCGAUAUCAGAUUAGCUAGUUGGUGGGGUAAAGGCCUACCAAGGCAACGAUCUGUAGUUGGUCUGAGAGGACGAUCAGCCACACUGGGACUGAGACACGGCCCAGACUCCUACGGGAGGCAGCAGUGGGGAAUUUUGGACAAUGGGCGCAAGCCUGAUCCAGCAAUGCCGCGUGCAGGAAGAAGGCCUUCGGGUUGUAAACUGCUUUUGUCAGGGAAGAAAUCUUCUGGGCUAAUACCCCGGGAGGAUGACGGUACCUGAAGAAUAAGCACCGGCUAACUACGUG